GAUCAUGGCUCAGGAUGAACGCUGGCGGCGUGCUUAACACAUGCAAGUCGAGCGAAGCGCUUUUGCGGAUUUCUUCGGAUUGAAGCAACUGUGACUGAGCGGCGGACGGGUGAGUAACGCGUGGGUAACCUACCUCAUACAGGGGGAUAACAGUUGGAAACGGCUGCUAAUACCGCAUAAGCGCACAGUACCGCAUGGUACCGUGUGAAAAACUCCGGUGGUAUGAGAUGGACCCGCGU
rnacentral:rRNA from 1 species